rnacentral:miRNA from 1 species
UACCUCAAAAAACCACAACAGUCUGUUUCAUCCGUAUAGGAAUCAUCAGGUGAUGACCACCUGAUGAUUCCUAUACGGAUGAAACAGACUGUUGUGGUUUUU